AUAUUGGUGGAUAAGAUGGAUGAAGCUCAGCAGCCAUAUCUACCAGCACCACGAGAUAGAGCGGCGGGAGCCGGUUGCGUCUUCCCUUCGUUGCCUCUCGGGCGGAAGAAUUGUCGAUUGAUUUGUGUGGAUUAUGCAGUGAUGGCGUCGCUGGCGUGCUCCCUCUCAGCCCCCUGCAGCUCAUCCCUGCGAAGCAGCUUCCAAGGAGAGUCUCUUAUUGUCGACAAUGCCGGUUCGUUGUGCCAGGUGCAGCUGCAAGGCAAGGGAGCGCUCGUAAUCGAGGCCAAGGAGUCGAGGAUUGGAAAAGCCCCGAUUCCCGUGCCGAAGGGUGUUACUGUCAACCUCGAUGGCCAGAACUUGUCCGUCAAGGGUGCCCUCGGAGAGCUCGUGAGAACUUACCCCCGAGAGGUGAAGCUCACGAACUCGGGCGAGGUUCUGCUGGUGGAGAGGGCUGUGGAGUCCAGGAGAGCUCGCCAAAUGCACGGUCUCUUCAGGACAUUGACGGAUAACAUGGUUAUCGGAGUGAGCAAGGGAUUCGAGAAGAGACUCCAGCUCAUCGGUGUGGGAUACAGAGCAGCCGUAGAGAAGGACGAGCUAGCACUGAAUUUGGGAUUCUCCCACCAAGUGCGCAUGAAAAUUCCUGAGGCUAUCACUGUGAAGGUGGAGGAGAACACGAGGGUGAUAGUGUCGGGCAAAGACAAAUGCGCUGUGGGAGACUUUUCUGCCGCGGUCAGGAAGUGGAGGCCCCCGGAACCCUACAAGGGCAAAGCGAAAAAAUCCGCUGUAUGUAAAAACAUAGGUAUAAAUGGAGGUUUAAAUAGCAACCACAGUGAAGUUUUACAUCUUGUCACCAUCGGCAUGUCUCACAUCCUCCAGUCACCCCAUCUGCUUGUCCAUGUGUGUUUCACUUACAAUUGGGUGUGUGGCGUAUCAACCUGUGACUGAAAAAUGGAACUAGCAACGAUAGCUGGAAUCGGUGGAGGGAUCAAGGCAUUGUCCUCGUGGGGUACUGCAGUGGUUUGAGUGUUGCAUCAUCCACUUUUUAGAACCCCAAGCGCCGCUGUAUUUUUGGUUUGACUCAACACCAGAUUUUCUGCGUUGUUGCCCUUUCCUUGGCCCUGAUUCAAUUAAGGCUGGUGUUUGUGAUUAGUUGCAGUUUAAUUAUCAUUUAACAGCCCUCUUGAAGAUUCUGACUACUUCAAGAACUACAGAUCCAUCAUGCUCAAUCAAUUUAGUGCUAACCAUGUGGCUAAUUGGGACCCCGGACACGCAUUUAAGUGUUGAAUAUUAUCAGGGAUACAUGUAGUUCGGUGUGGACACGGUUAUCUAAAGGAAUGUGUAAUUUCGAAGAGAGUGUUGUGGGCAUUUGUGUUAGAGACGCUGAUAUAAUUGUGUGGGUUCUUGACAAAGAAUUUAUGCCAGCUUGUCUUUGUAGCCGGUACUUGUAUGUUAAGUUAUAGUUGCUACUUGUCAGUAGCUCUUGCAUCUACACACUCAAGAAUGAGCAUUUUUCUCAGUUGCUCUAUGUUCUCUUCCUGUGGAGAGUUUCAAGAUCGAUCGUUCGGAUGACGCCUGCUCUCCUAUGGAGAAAGGAAUCGUGGACUUGCAGGAUGUAGUGGGCUGGAAGUGGCUCAUUUCUUGCUUCGUGUGUUUGCGAAGAGGUGGGUUCGUCGUUCCCUGAGAAUCAGUCUAACGAAGAAGAGGAGUGUGGGUUCUGGACAUUGGCCAUGGGCGACGGCGGAAGCAGGGUGGUUUCAGCACCUAUCAGGUGGAUCGAAGAACCAGUGAUGAAUAGGAUUACAGCAGGAGAACUAUACGAGGACUCGCAACCUCCCCAGAUGAGAUUCUUUUCUUGCAUGAAAUUUUUAGGCUGAUCCGAUGAGGAUUCUUUCUUCCUGAGCCAAACCGCGUUCACUACUGCGUGGAGAUACUGUUUGCAAUUCUCACCCAGAAAGCAUCGACAAAUUGCACAAGGGCAAGAUAUGCAAAAUUUCUUCGGUUUUCUAUGAAAUUGAAAAAUAUUAUUUGUGGGUACUAUGUGAAGGUUUGAUAGAAUCAUUGCAUCAACAAGUUUGCACUUCAUACUAAUCUUCCAGGUCACACAGACUUAAUCGUUACUUCAAAUUUCAGCUUCAUUAUUCAUGUUUCCUCACAUGAACAAGAUCAUGAUCUCGCAGCAAAUUACUUCCAGGAGCAAACACACAGGAUAUGUUAAGUUGGUAAUGCUGUGCUGGGUUUACUUGAUUCAUGAUUUAGUUGCCGUUGUAAUACAAGGUUGAUGCGCUUUAUUGUAUUCUGUCAUGCUUUGCUUGACUGUACUGAUUUCCGGCCUGUGGAAUACCGUUUCUGCAAUGUGGUUAGCAGCAGGUGAUGGUGGAAAGCAACUUGACAAAGCUGCUGCUGAACAUGGAAACCAAGCACGUUCCAUUGCUGACGUCCAAUGUAGCUAGGUGCAGAUGAUACGAGGCUAGAGAGAUGAUGGUAGCUGUGCUGCAGUUCCUAGGCAAGACUCUUUCAACAGUUUGGCUAUUCCGAUGUUUGAGUAAUGAUUAUUGCAACUUCAACAAAGAUUUGGAGGAAUGUGUUAAUGAUGUUUUUUUGAAUCAUUUACCAGCAAUCUUAUUGCUGUUUAUUGUAUAAUUGAAUGUCAUGCUUAUAGUCCA